rnacentral:rRNA from 1 species
GAUGAACGCUAGCUACAGGCUUAACACAUGCAAGUCGAGGGGAAACGACAUCGAAAGCUUGCUUUUGAUGGGCGUCGACCGGCGCACGGGUGAGUAACGCGUAUCCAACCUGCCCAUCACUUGGGGAUAACCUUGCGAAUGUAAGACUAAUACCCAAUGAUAUCUCUAGAAGACAUCUGAAAGAGAUUAAAGAUUUAUCGGUGAUGGAUGGGGAUGCGUCUGAUUAGCUUGUUGGCGGGGUAACGGCCCACCAAGGCAACGAUCAGUAGGGGUUCUGAGAGGAAGGUCCCCCACAUUGGAACUGAGACACGGUCCAAACUCCUACGGGAGGCAGCAGUGAGGAAUAUUGGGCAAUGGGCGAGAGCCUGAACCAGCCAAGUAGCGUGCAGGAAGACGGCCCUAUGGGUUGUAAACUGCUUUUAUAAGGGAAUAAAGUGAGAGUCGUGACUCUUUUUGUAUGUACCUUAUGAAUAAGGACCGGCUAAUUCCGUG